UCAAGAUGUGGGCCAAAGAUGAAACCUUUUCAAACUGCCACGUUCUAAAGAAACACUGGACUGGACCUCUGCUGCCAACACAAGAUGCUCUGGAGGAGAUUCCCCGCCUUCCCCUGCGCCCCUUAAGGAUCGACUCGAACAACAAGUACCUGAGCCAGUCGAUGCGUCUGAACAACAACAACAUCACAAACCUCGUUGGCCUUGAAUUCAUGUUGAGUCAUUUUCUGGCUCAGCCAUCAUUGCUUGGCUGGCUGGAUCUCUCCUGCAACAAAAUAACAAGUAUUGAAUGUGUUUUAUGUGAGCUAAAGGAGCUGCGUGUUUUGUAUCUGCAUGGCAAUGACAUCUGGAGCCUGAGUGAAGUAAACAAAUUAGGAGAGCUGAAUUAUCUGCACACCAUCACACUUCAUGGAAAUUUGAUUGAAAACAUCAAAGGCUACAGGAGUCACGUUAUUUCGAUAUUGCCUCACCUGAAGAGGAUGGACUUCAGUGCUGUGACUCGCCAGGAGAAAGUCUUGGCGUCUAUUUGGUCUACGAACAUCAAACCGCCCAGAACACGACCCAAAGAUGCAUCAGAACAUGAUUAAACUAUUCAUGUUCCUACUGACUGGGCUUGUUAAGCAGAAGAUUCUUCUCAGAUGAGCCUUGGAAGUGACAGCCUUCCUCUUAUGAGUUUCACCCUGAAAAAUCCUUAAUUGUGUGGAUUUAAAUGUCCCUGAAUCAACAUAUGGUUGGUGUUCCUGAUGGAUUCAGAACUUCCACACAAGAUGUUAUUCCAAAGAUGAAAACUUCAAACCUUUUCAAAAUCCGUUCUUUCCUCCCAGUUGUGCUGCCGUGGAGCCAUCGCUGUAAGGAAGACUUUUGAUCCUUUUGAUUUUUGGCUACACAAGUUUGUUGUUAAUAUAUAUAUUUUUUUCACCUGCAUCAGAAAGAUAUCAUGUCACAAUGAGUUUGUAAAAAAAAAGUGAAGACAUUUUCAGAGCAGUGAAUUGCUAAUAGUCAGACAAUGAGCUGGUUUAAUGUAAAACAACUCAAAGAAAACCAUGUUAAAACUUGUUUUAUGAUACUCUCUAUCAACAGAAAAUCAUGAAACACUUUUGUAAAGUUUGAUGCUAUUUUCUUGGCCAAACAAUGUCCAUGUUGCACCACAUAAACAGCAGAAGAAAGCUGUUUGUGGUGCAUAAACAGCACCACAUGGUGACAGAAUGGCACCACUGCUUCUGUCAGACUGACCCAUGGCUACGAUGUAGUUUACCUCCGUUAUUGUGUGAAUGUGUGCGAAUAAAUGGAUGAAUGACUGACGGUAGUGUAAAGCCCCAUCCUCAACUUGCUAAUGGUGGAGAAAAAACUUAAAGUUCCAGAAAAACUACUUAUUCUCUGUCAUUGGUGUCAAUGCUAGUUAGCCUUAGGAUUUAUAGCAGGCUUUGCUGUCGUGUACUACCUGUAGCGUAGCAGAGAGUAAGGAAACAGUUGUGAGAAGCCCAUAUAGAAGCGUGAUUGACAGCGCUAAAACCCGCCUCCUUCCUCUGAUUGGUUGUGUCAGACCGGGAGCCGUGUGUUCCUGCAGAUGGCUGUAGGACAGCAGGGAAAAUGCAGAGGAGCUAGAUUUUUCACACAGAUUAUCUGUUUCAUAUACAAUACAAACAUGUAAAAAGAAAACAACAUAUUUUUAUAAAAGUUACACCAUCGCUGCUUUUAUUUCCUCUGGUUUCAAUUGUGCCCUUUAACUUUUACAUGUUCUUUUUCCAGACAACAAACAAACAAACAAACAAACAAACAAACACAUCUACAAUGACUCACCAAACUGGAACAAACUGGAAACACAUCAAUAACUUUUUUGUUAUUUAAAUUUUUAUUAUUAUUAAUUCACAAGACUUGGACUUUUUAAAUAAAUUUAAAAAACUGUAUAGACUAGUUACUAAGUAAAUUUUUGAAUUAUAAAAGUUGUAACUGUAACUUUAUGGAUACUCUUUUCCUUCAUGUGUUGUGUUCAUUAUUGAUUACUGUAAAGAGGUUUAUAGUUAAAGUCUAUGAAAGGUUUUACUGACCAAAACUCCAGAAUUAGAGGCCAUCAUACUGUGAUUCUUUUUGACACAUGACAUCUGCAAAGUAGUUUAUUGCUGUCAGACAAAAGCCAGAUUUUAGUGUUAGAUUUUUUUCAGUUCUUUGUUCAGUAUAAAACAAGCACUACUUUCAGAAAUAUCUCCUCAUCAAAAAUCCUCAAGGGUUUAUUAGUCAAUGAAGCCCAAAGGGAAAGCUGAAUUAAGAGCUAAUUAACAUGCUUUACUUCCUGAUAGGUACAGCAACACAACAGUCAGGAUAUGACAGUGUGCAUGCAUCCCAUGUUCACUAGAGAAAGAAGUUCAAAUUUACACUCUUGUUCAGUCACUCCAUGACAUUUUUUUGCCUGAAGCCCUUUCUGUUUUCUCCUGCUGCAGUGCUCCAGGUAGUUGUCUUGUUAAAAUGUAAGCCUUUAUCAUUCAGUCUGAGAUCCAGUUUCUAUCGCUUUCUCUGUAAUUUUCUGUGCGCUCUUUUUCUUUACAGAUCACAGCCCAGAAAACUUACUCUAUUGUAUCUGCUAUAUGUUCACUUUUAUUUUUCACAUGUUUGUCAUAUUUUACAGCGCACCUGCGCUUGUAACCGGGUAUUCACGCUGCACGAAAAGGCACAUCACCUUACUUUAACUCUGAAAAUGAAUCAGAGAUAGUACAUCUUUCUGUUUUCUGAUACAUUUUCUUUCAAUUCAGAGAUUUACAAACAUUUUCUUAGUAUUUUAAAUUUUUUUCUAAUUGCAUUUAAACUUUAUGACUUUAUUUAAAUAUUUUGAAUAUCUUCCCACAAGUUUUUCUAAAUAGUUUUCUGGAAUUCUGGCUCAUCCUGAUGAAGUUUUGGGAACUGGUGGUGGAAUCCUUAGUAAAUGAUGAUUUGGAAAACAGAUUUUUCCCUAAUCUUUUUUUUUUUUUUUCAUUCUCCUAAGAUGUUGUUCAGUAUUUCUACAUUCAGCAAUGCUUGUUGCUCCUAAUGAAUUGAUUUUAUGAAGUGAAUCAGUCUGUUCUGCUGCUGUAUGUACAGCUGACAUGGUGCUUUGAGGCUUGACAUUUUCUACCUGGUCGGUCCAAACGUACCAGUUGUCGUACUGAACAAACCUGCAUCUCUAGAAAACUCAGCUCUUUGUCCCUGAGUGCUAUUGUAAGUUGAAAUUGAAAUCGUUUGGAGUAAUAAAGCAUCUUUUUAUCUA